rnacentral:rRNA from 1 species
AGUGAACGCUGGCGGUAGGCCUAACACAUGCAAGUCGAACGGCAGCACAGUAAGAGCUUGCUCUUACGGGUGGCGAGUGGCGGACGGGUGAGGAAUACAUCGGAAUCUACUUUUUCGUGGGGGAUAACGUAGGGAAACUUACGCUAAUACCGCAUACGACCUACGGGUGAAAGCAGGGGAUCUUCGGACCUUGCGCGAUUGAAUGAGCCGAUGUCGGAUUAGCUAGUUGGCGGGGUAAAGGCCCACCAAGGCGACGAUCCGUAGCUGGUCUGAGGGGAUGAUAAGCCGAAGAGAACCGGAGCACGGGUCCGGAACCCUAGGGGAGGCAGGAGGGGGGAAUUUUGGAAAAGGGGGGAAAGCCGGAUCCAGCCUGACGGGGGGGGUGAAAAAGGCCUUCGGGUUGUAAAGCCUUUUUGUUGGGAAAAAAAAGCAGCAGGUUAAAACCCCGCUUUUUGGACGGAACCAAAAAAAAAAGCACCGGCAAAUUUCGU